AUUGAACGCUGGCGGCAUGCCUUACACAUGCAAGUCGAACGGUAACGGGCCUUCGGGUGCCGACGAGUGGCGAACGGGUGAGUAAUACAUCGGAACGUGCCCGAUCGUGGGGGAUGACGAGGCGAAAGCUUUGCUAAUACCGCAUACGAUCUACGGAUGAAAGCAGGGGACCGCAAGGCCUUGCGCGGACGGAGCGGCCGAUGGCAGAUUAGGUAGUUGGUGGGAUAAAAGCUUACCAAGCCGACGAUCUGUAGCUGGUCUGAGAGGAUGAUCAGCCACACUGGGACUGAGACACGGCCCAGACUCCUACGGGAGGCAGCAGUGGGGAAUUUUGGACAAUGGGCGCAAGCCUGAUCCAGCCAUGCCGCGUGCAGGAUGAAGGCCUUCGGGUUGUAAACUGCUUUUGUACGGAACGAAAAGCCUUCUUUUAAUACAGGAGGGUCAUGACGGUACCGUAAGAAUAAGCACCGGCUAACUACGU
rnacentral:rRNA from 1 species